GGGUUGUGAGGUUAAGCGACUAAGCGUACACGGUGGAUGCCCUGGCAGUCAGAGGCGAUGAAGGACGUGCUAAUCUGCGAUAAGCGUCGGUAAGGUGAUAUGAACCGUUAUAACCGGCGAUUUCCGAAUGGGGAAACCCAGUGUGUUUCGACACAC
rnacentral:rRNA from 2 species